rnacentral:lncRNA from 1 species
AGGGAGGAAGGGAGAUGGGUAGAAUCAUUUUGGUUAAAAUUUGGGGCCUGAUUGGGGAAAUGAUGAAAUAGUAGAACAGCUAACUAAUAAAUUGGUUCUGUGUCCAGAAUAUUUUGCCUUUUCAAAAAAAAUGUCAUUGGCACCAUAAGUAAGGACUAUGAGAGACUGUUAAAAAAAAAAAAAAAAAAAAAAAAAAGUCUGUUAAUCCUAAAACCUACAGCCAAGGUGCUCCCAGCCUGAGCUCAAAGUGGCCCACAAAGGACAAAGCCAGUUCUGAGUUACCAAAGCUGCCAUUUGAUGAUGGAAACUGACUGGAGAGGGAAAGGUUACAGGAGAGUAUAUAGAGGCAGACUACUCUGCCAUAGAGGUGCUAAUUCUUGAAAUUGGAGAAAAAAAAAACUUUUUCCAAUUACAAAGUUAUAUCAGUUUGUCCAUCUAAGCCAUUGGCUCAAGUAUUGCAGGAUGGCCUAUGGGAGAUGGAAGAGAAGGGCCUUUGCUCUUAGGGUAGAAACUCUUAGAGCCCCUCUCUCUCUUUCUUUUUUUUUUUUCUUUCUUUCUUUUCUAUUUUUGUUUUUUUUUUAAUUUUUUUUUUUUAUUUUCAGCUUUGAACCCUGAAACUGCUUGUGGCAGGUUCAGUUACUGACAGCACAAAUUCCAUUGAGUCAAUUCAAGGAUUGAAUGACUUCACAAGCCCUGGUCUCAGGAGAUUAACUUUCAUAUUGGGGUAGUGGUUCACUUGAGAAUACAAAAUCUUCAGAUUAACUGAUGUCCAAAAUACUGUCUUGAAUCAUGAGAUCCAUCAAUUUUUAGUAUUGUCUAGACCUACAAAUAGAACUACAUUGUAAAAUCUUUUUCAGCAUGUGUUAAGAUGUAUGUGAAAAUUUCUGUUUAAGUUUAAAGUUCAUACCAUACUGUCAGUUUUUGUCUUAAUAAAAUUAUAGAUUUCU